rnacentral:rRNA from 1 species
CGGACGGGUGAGUAACGCGUGAGAAUCUGGCUUCAGGUCUGGGACAACCACUGGAAACGGUGGCUAAUACCGGAUGUGCCGAGAGGUGAAAGGUUAGCUGCCUGAAGAUGAGCUCGCGUCUGAUUAGCUAGUUGGUAGAGUAAGAGCCUACCAAGGCGACGAUCAGUAGCUGGUCUGAGAGGACGAUCAGCCACACUGGGACUGAGACACGGCCCAGACUCCUACGGGAGGCAGCAGUGGGGAAUUUUCCGCAAUGGGCGAAAGCCUGACGGAGCAAUACCGCGUGAGGGAGGAAGGCUCUUGGGUCGUAAACCUCUUUUCUCAGGGAAGAACACAAUGACGGUACCUGAGGAAUAAGCAUCGGCUAACUCCGUGCCAGCAGCCGCGGUAAUACGGAGGAUGCAAGCGUUAUCCGGAAUGAUUGGGCGUAAAGCGUCCGCAGGUGGCAAUGUAAGUCUGCUGUUAAAGAGUCUAGCUCAACUAGAUAAGAGCAGUGGAAACUACAUAGCUAGAGUACGUUCGGGGCAGAGGGAAUUCCUGGUGUAGCGGUGAAAUGCGUAGAGAUCAGGAAGAACACCAGUGGCGAAGGCGCUCUGCUAGGCCGUAACUGACACUGAGGGACGAAAGCUAGGGGAGCGAAUGGGAUUAGAUACCCCAGUAGUC